GAUUGUGUCAGUGAUAUUUUCCAGAAGAAUUUUAUACCACACAAAUAUUUCAUUCUCGGCUUCGUAUUCCUCCCAAGUUCUCUCUCUCAACUCAAACCCAUUCUCUAUUCGAUCUCUCUACCUUGCGACCCUCGAUUUCUUUUCGUGUUACUGAAACCCAAAGCACCAAAACUGUUGAUAAUGGCAGUGCCUUGGAGAAAAUGACUACAACCGUGGCAGAGAAUUCUAAGGAAUCUUGUGGGCCUGUGACAUUGGAAAAUGCUUCGACCGCCAGUGACAUCGUCAACCGUGGGAAGAGCAAGGAGGCCCUUGUUGCGGCAACGAUCACUCAGGGAGCUACGCCGGCUGUGAUGGUGGAUAAGCAGAAGAGUUCGUUCUCUUCGUGGAGUAUAUAUCAGAAGCGUAACAACCCGGCGACAACCUUCGAGACCUCGAUACUAUGAGGUCAGAGUCCUCGGAUGUGAGGUCUCAAAGACGAAGAAAAGCAUUCUCUCACGCUGUGUAUUUCUCGGUUGCUCUUCUUUGUUCUUGUUGCCUAUGCGCUGUGGGUAUGGUGCGUUGUGCGGUAAUGGCUUGGUCGGCUGCUGAUGGGAAGGCUAGAGAUAGGCUGCUGGAGAGAGUUCAGAGGAAAAGCCAUAGGCAAGUCGAUCUUAUCUCUCUUAUCCCCAAACCAAAGGCCAAGGAAGAGAAGAAGCCUAAGGAGAAAGAGCCUCCCAAGCCUGAAGAGAAGAAAGAAGAGGUUUUUUCUUUUAUUUUUUCCGAGGAAACAAAAUCUUUUGUAGAUUCUCAAAAUUUUCAUCUUUUUUCUUAUUUGUUGAUUCAUUUGAGGCCUCUGGGUUCAUUAUGUAAUUGUUUGAUACAACCUCAUAUUGUCACAGUGGUGCUGAAGGUUCACAUGCAUUGCGAUGCCUGUGCACAAGAAAUAAAAAAAUGCAUACUAAAAAUGAAUGGUAUGAUCAGACUAUUUUUCAUCUUUACGACUAAUGCAAUUUUGGCUUUUACUUGUUGAGUAUCUGUAAAUGAUUUCGUUGGCAGCUAAUGGUUUUGGCCAUAUUAUUAAUUUUUGUUAACUUUUGAGUCUCUUAAAAGAAAAUAGUUUUUUCUCUUACCAUUAAACCAACCGGAGGCUUUUCUUCAAUAUAUUGUUAUACUUUGAGAAUCCACUCUUUCUGGUCCCAAUCAAAGCUCUUUCAAUUUUCAUGAAUUAUUAUAUAGUUUAAAAUCAUUGAAUCACAACUUUAAAUGCGUCUUUGUAAAACUAUUACUUAUCUAAAAUAAGUGGAAAAGGGCUACAUCAAUAGGAAGUCUUGUGUAGUGUAAAAUGGGGCAAAGAUGUGUCAGUAGGUUUGUCCUUCUCAAGCAUUGGUUGAACAUCUCAAGCCCUGUUACUUGUGUACGUAUUCAAAGGUGUUGGUCUGUCCAUUUGGUUUAAAAUAGCUUGCGGAUGUUUGAUGCCUGUGAGUUAUGAAGCAUUUUUUUCAUUCAUUUCUUAUUUCUUAUUUUUAUUCAAGGUGAAAUUGAUUUUUUUAAAAGUGAAUGGAACAUGCAUUUAAAACAAAAGUUUACUAAUGAUGACGAGUAGACGUUAACAUGUUCAUUAAUGAGUUGGUUUGAACAGCGUCCUUAUCUAAUAAGGUUUCUUCAUUACAAUAAUGAAUUUGUUUCUUUGCCUCUAAAUGUACAGAUACCAAUAUCUAACUUUUCUCUAAUCUGUUUACAGGUAUGGAUUUAGCAAAGAAGUUGUUGAUCAAUGCCCUAGUAUACUUAUCUUGUUGCCCUUGUUAUUUCAAAAUUUUCUGAACUUCAUACUAUUAGUAUUUUUUCUUGUGUGCAAAGGGUGAACAUCUAGUUAUUUAUAUCUCUUUUUACUUAUAAAAAAAAAUAAAUGGUGAAAAUCUGGUGUAUGUCUGAGGCAUGGACCUAAUACUACUAGAAAGUGUGGUAAAAUAUUAGGGUGAGGAGACAGUUGCAGCCUUUUUUCUUUGUUUAGGCACAUAAUCUUAAAAUUUGCUACAGAAUUGAGGUUUGAUUGACUAUUUGAUGUAGGACAAAUUUUGACAUAUGCCUACAAUUGCACUACUGAUUGAUAAUAUAUUUCUAGGCAACCUUAUCUUGGCACCUUGGAAGUUUGCCUAUGACUACAGAGUGCCUUAUGUAGUUAAUGGUAUCGGUCCGUCUUGGUAUAAUUUUAUCCAUAUGAUUGUGUCCUGUCAACUCUUCCAUUAGCUCUCACAUGGAUAUAUAUAUUGAUGUGGUAAUUGCUGUUUUUGUUUGUUUUUUUUUAAUGCCAACUUCAUUGCCUAAUUCUUGUGUGCUAUUGAAUCUUUUGUGUGCUUGCACUCAUUAUUUCAGAUCAGUUUCACUGGUUCCAUAGAAGUAGGACGUAAAGUAAUGCAAAAGUCAGCUGCAAGUAAUUUGAAAGUUGUUUCACUUGAAUUAGGAGGCAAGUCCACCCCCCCUAAAAAAAAAAAAGUUUCGACAAUGCCGAUGUUAAUAUAGUAGCUAUUGAUCUUGCUCUCUUCGAUAUCCUAUAUAACAAGGUGAUUUUUUUUCUUUACUUUUUGCUUCCUUCUGAUAGACAUGCAAUUUAUAUAUAUUCUUUUUCCAAAAAGGAAAAAAAAGGUAGUUUUAAUGACAUUUUUAUCAUGGUUUUAUAUCGAUAGGGAGAAAUAUGCAUCACAAGUUCUCAUGUUUACAUUCAAGAAUGGGAUAUAUAAGGAACUUGUGAAGAAAUUAGUGGAAAAGGCAAAAGUUUGAGCGGUUGGGGAUCUUUUUGAUCCUAAAGUUCAACAAGGACCUCACGUACGAAGAGGGCUAGGCUUUAAUCUCUCUUUUUGUUUUCGUUCGUAGGGUACAAAGUUCUGUUUUAGUCAUUGCUUGUCUAAAACAUUUAAAUUGAUAGAAGAGAUAAAUUUAAUUAUUUGAUUUAUAUUUUACGAGCAAAAAUAGAGUAUAUUUAUUUUAACUAUCUUCCUUUGUAAAAUCACUUCUUCUUCUUCUUCUUCUUCUUUUUUUUUAUUUUUUAUUUUUUAUUUUUUUAUUUUUAUUUUUAAACUUGUAUAGAUAAGAAGCAAUUUGAAAAAGUUCUUUCCUACAUCAAGCAUGGCAAGAGGGGAGCAACACUACUAAUCGGGGGCAAGCCAUAGGGUGAGAACAUGCACAUGGGGAAACUUUCUUUUUAGAGGGAUUAUUUUUACUCAUUUCCCUCCAUCUAUCACUUUUAUGGACAACUUACUGGUGAUUAAAUAGGAAGAAAUGCUGAUAGCAAAGAAUGAAAUAUUUGGACCUGUUAUGGCACUUGCCAAGCUCAGGUGGGUAUCUUCCACUAUAAUUGUUGUAGGAGACCAUGUCUUUGGGUGCCACAAUCUAUAAUUGUUGUAGGAGACAGGUUGUUAAUUAGCUCAAAGAUAAGUAUGUAGUGCAACCAAAAAAAAAAAAAAAAAUGGCUUUACACAAUACAUGCUUAACUUCAUUGGAUAUUUUGCAAUUAUAUUCCCAAUUUCCCUGAUAUGCAGUUCUUUUAAAAUCAUUGCCGUGUUUCUUUUGUGAAGUUUCAUCUGCUCUCAAGUGUUGGUUUUGUGGUUCUGGCUUUGUUAAGUGGAUCUUUGAAUGUGAGUUUACGGGUGUGUGUGACUUGCAAUGCAUGGUUAGUUAAAGUGGGUAUUGCAUCGCAUGUGGUAUGUUUAUAGUGGGUAAGUGGUAGAAUGUGCAGUCAGUUCAUGGGAGAGGGAGUAAAGAUUAUGGGGUGUUUGCACUUAUAUUUAGCUAUUUAAUUAGCAUGAUUUAUGUCUCCUAUGCAGAAAAAACUAUAAUUUUAAUUCCCAUGUAAGUUUCUUUGCUAAAAGUUGUAUGAGACUAUCGUAUGUUCUAACUUAUAUGUGUCUAACUUAGUACUUUAUUAAUAUAAUCUAAUUAUUGUGCAUCCUUAGCCAAUAUUGUGAACUAAUAGCUACUUCAAUGAGAUCCAAUUCGGUGUGGCAUGUAGGGAGUUAUAUUGCUCAUAAAUUUGUAGUAAGAAAAUAAAAUCUUACCUUGUUAUGGGCCAUAAGAAAGUUGGUAAACUAUCUUGGUGUCGUAUCAAACAUCUUGGAUCAAAACUUGCUUUCAGGUGGGCCGGAUUGGGUGAUUUAUGUAGGAUUUUCCAUGUUGAGUUAUCCUACUAUUGCAAUUUGGUCUGGAAAAAUAAUUGUGCAAAUUUCAUUCCCUGUUAACAUAUUCUCGAUAUUUGUUUUGUCCCAUGUUACUUCAGUUUCCCAUUAGGUAGAAAUAAUUGAUUUGUUUGUUUAUUUUCCAGGCACCAAAGCUCUUCUUUACUUUUCAAAAUUGUACCUACCACAGUUGUAACUAAGUUUUGCAGAUCUUCUAUCUAUCCCGGCACGAAAUCACCAACAAAAUAGAACUUCCCAUGAUUGUAUUUUUAAAGUAAUAUGUAAAAAUAUAAUUGAAUAUGAAUUGAUAACUGUUUGCAUAGUAUGCAUGGAAAUUUGCCUACAAUAAAGUAAUUUCCUAACCCUAAGGGGUAGCUUAAUUGGUUAGGCCUUGGGUUUGCUCUCCAAUGGUCACUAGUUCGAGUCCCCUCAGGGCCACUGGAGAAUUUACCUGGUCGUUAACUUUAGAGCCCCUUAAGAUUAGUCGAGGUGAGCAUAAGCUGGCCCGGACACCCAAGGUUAUUAAAAAAAAAAAAAAAGUAAUUUCCUAUGCUUUAAGUUAUUACAACUUUAAUACCGAAACCUUUAUGUUGUAUUGUAAUGAAUACAAUUUUUUUUCAUCAUUUUGUGUUGAUUCAGCAGUGAAGGUUGUACAUCAGGCUUUCCACCAUGGUCCAUGUCUUUGGGUGCCACAAUCUAUUAUUGUUGUAGGAGACAACUUGUUAUAUUUCAAUUUCUCAUAUAUACAGUUGUUUUAAUACAAUUGCUGUGUUUUUCUUU